rnacentral:rRNA from 1 species
UGGGGAAUUUUGCACAAUGGGGGAAACCCUGAUGCAGCGACGCCGCGUGAUUUAGAAGGCCUUCGGGUUGUAAAAAUCUUUUCUAUGGGAAGAAAAUGACAGUACCAUAGGAAUAAGGACCGGCUAAUUACGUGCCAGCAGCCGCGGUAAUACGUAAGGUCCGAGCGUUGUCCGGAAUCAUUGGGCGUAAAGGGUACGUAGGCGGGUAAGCAAGUUAGAAGUGAAAUCCUGUAGCUCAACUACAGUAAGCUUUUAAAACUGCUCAUCUUGAGAUAUGGAAGGGAAAGUGGAAGUCCAUGUGUAGCGGUGAAAUGCGUAGAUAUAUGGAGGAACACCGGUGGCGAAAGCGGCUCUCUGGUCUGUAACUGACGCUGAGGCUCGAAAGCGUGGGGAGCGAACAGG